rnacentral:rRNA from 1 species
UACGUAGGGUGCAAGCGUUAUCCGGAAUUAUUGGGCGUAAAGCGUCCGUAGGUGGCUCUUCAAGUCUGCUGUCAAAGAGUGGGGCUUAACCCUGCAAAGGCAGUGGAAACUGAAAGGCUAGAGAGCCGUAGGGGUAGAGGGAAUUCCCGGUGUAGCGGUGAAGUGCGUAGAGAUCGGGAAGAACAUCGGUGGCGAAAGCGCUCUACUGGACGGUAUCUGACACUGAGGGACGAAAGCUAGGGGAGCGAAUGGG